CUGUGCCACAGUGCAACUGCCCAAACUAAGAAAGCGUGAGAACAGCUAAACUGGAGUGCUGCUAACAGAAAAACAGGUACUGAUAACAGUCUUCCCUUCAUUAACUAAAUCAGGAAGUUUGAAGUUUGCAAAGAAAGAAAACUUGCAACAGCUUCAUGCAACUUUUCACAUGCACAAGCAAGGGAACAAACUCUGGAUCACACUCUGGAGAGUGUGCGAACAUUUGGGAUACAUCAGAAGUACAUUUGGCCAUAGAAUUCCA